rnacentral:rRNA from 1 species
CAGGCCUAACACAUGCAAGUCGAACGAAGGCUUCGGCCUUAGUGGCGCACGGGUGCGUAACGCGUGGGAAUCCACCCCUGGGUUCGGAAUAACAGUUGGAAACGACUGCUAAUACCGGAUGAUGACGUAAGUCCAAAGAUUUAUCGCCCAGGGACGAGCCCGCGUAGGAUUAGCUAGUUGGUGGGGUAAAGGCCUACCAAGGCGACGAUCCUUAGCUGGUCUGAGAGGAUGAUCAGCCACACUGGGACUGAGACACGGCCCAGACUCCUACGGGAGGCAGCAGUGGGGAAUAUUGGACAAUGGGCGAAAGCCUGAUCCAGCAAUGCCGCGUGAGUGAUGAAGGCCUUAGGGUUGUAAAGCGAUUUGACCCGGGAUGAUAAUGACAGAC